AGCUACUUCACGUAAGGCAGGGUGCCAGCUGUGCUGAGUGUGAUGGACUGGAGCUGCCAGGACCCUACCUGAGCUGCUGUUCCUGAGCUGGGCCCUGAUACAUGAGCUUAUUCACUGCUAAGAACUCUCCAGUGCCAGCAGCUCUGGGAGGUGUUUGGGUUUCGGCAGUAAACAGCAGAUAAAAAAUAUCUGCCCUGCUGGUGCUUAGAUUCGAAUGCGGGAGGCUGUCAAAAUGAACGGCUCACUGAAUAGUGUCAGAUGCUGGAAGAUCAGCACUCUGAAGGAAAAUGAGCUGAGGACGUUUGAGGCCUGGGGCAGCCGGGAGGAAGGGGAAGGAGGAAUCCGAACCAAGACCAUGGAGAAGCACCCCGGGCCCCGAUGCUGGGCGGCUUAGAACCUGGUUCCCCAGAGCCUCAGAAGGUAGCCAAGGCUAGGGUCAGGGCGCUAAGCCUCAGGAGUCAGGGCGCUCAACCUCAGGAGUCAGGGCGCUCAACCUCAGGGGUCAGGGCGCUCAGCUUCAGGGGUCAGGAAUGACGCCCUCUCUCCCUCUCCUUACCCUGUCUCAACUCACAGCAUUCCGGGUCCUCUGCACGUGCUGGUCCUCAAUUUAGGACCCUCGUCUUUCCCCAGAUAUCCAAGAGGCCUCCUCCGUGCCUCCUAAAGGUGUCUGCCCAAAUGUCACCCUCACAGGGGGUAAAUCCCCCUGGGGCGGUGAAGCUUCCACUUCCCUCCUGGGCCGUGGCCUGGUUUUGCACAGGUGAUAACGCCAUCUGCUUCCUAGAGCUCCGCUGCGCGGGGUCUUCCCGCCCCCAGGGCUGGACCUGGCCCAUCACCCAGGCAAACCCGGGACACCCCCUUCCCGCCACCCAGGCCAGGUCCCCUCCGCGCUCCGUGCUGCCCGCCCAGGGUCCGCGGCGUUGGGUUUCCCUGCACGCCUGGGUCUGGUCCCGGUCCCGGGCCGUCGUUCCGAGGGGUUGUCCAGGCCCUGAGGUCUGGGGAGGAACCGGACGCUGGGUCGCCAGCAGCCCGCAGGGCGCAGAACCGGCGCAUCCGCGCGGGGGGCGUCCACUCCCGGGGUGGGUGGCGCGCUCUCACCUCUCCAAGGCUGGAAGCUGCAGCCCCGGCCCGGCCACGUGGGCACGUGCGACUCGGGGAUGGAGCGACCCUCGCACGGGGCGACCCCCGGGACCCGCAACUCUGGGACCCUGCGACCCCCGGGACGGUGAGAUCCCCGCGGAUCUGCGUGGCCCUGGAGGUUGGCGGGUCGGGGAGGGUGCGGGUGGGGGCGGCGCCGGCCAAUCCGGAGCAUGGGACGCGUCAACCCCCGCAUCACCGCCGACCCCCACGUGGUUCCACCCGGAGGGCGACACGGCGGGGGCGCCUCUACCCUGCCAGCCUGGAUCCCGACUAGGAGCCCAACCUGGACCCCCGCAGCCCAGCCUCCCUGGCAGAAAUGAAGAAUUCCAAGCAGAGCUGGUCCUUCCUCCCGGAGAGCCUGCUCCAGCCACGGUGACCCAGGACUUGAGAAGCUCUGCACUUGGGCUGAGCCCCAUGCAGGAGGAGGCCGAGAUCUCUGGGCUCCCACAGGAGAGGGGGCGCCCAGCCUAGCACCAGCCCGUCGAGACCAUGGACUCUGUGGUGCCCAGACGGGACAUGUGCCAGGACCACCAGGAAGGCUGAGCUCUGGGACCCUGCCAAUGCGCUCACAAAGUUCCAUCAUCUCGUAAAACUCGCGGAAGACUUAGCCGUCCGUGUUUGGGACUGGCGGCCCCUUCCACUAGGUUCGUCAUAAUACUCCUUUCACCUCGAGGGUCCCUGAGGAGCCGGGGGUGUGUGGGGUCCCCCAUACGGGAGGCUGAGCUGGACAUGCACUUGGCUCUCUCUGCUGGGAGCCCCUUCGGGUUCCCAGUCACGGUGUCUCUGCCUGCAGGAGCAGCAGGGAGUCCCGGGACAGGAUGGCCAGGGCCAGAGGUCACAUGGUGAGGCAGACAUGUCCCCCCAGCCUGGGAGGUGUGGCGACUGCAGCGGGAGGAAAUGCCGCUCCUGCCGCCAACCCACGACCGUCCUCACCACGGCGGGCUGUGACGGUGGGGGGGCAGCCUUCCAGGCGCCGGGGUUAGAAACAAAUCCGGGCAGCCCUGCAGGAGGAAGCGGGCAUUCCACAAAGGCCGUGAAGAGGCCACCGCGAAAUGGGGAAAAGCCGUGGGUCAAUUGCUUAUUCAUCGCAGAUGGUUCACGAAUAAAACACUUACUGAAUAUUGUGUUGUGUUUUCCAGUUUUUUAAGCUUUGUGAUGUGACGAUUUUUUAACGUUUCUGUGUUCAUAUUCACCUUCAUUCUGUAGAAUUUGUCAUCUGAUCUGUUUUCCCUGAAGGAAGGCUCCCCAUCAUCAUCUAACUGUGGAAGUUUCAAGCCUCAGAACUGGGUCCGGGGUGGGGGCUCUGAUCUCCGAGCCUCAGGUGACACAGCAGCUGCCGCUCCCUGCUCGCGACCCCCUGGCUACAGAUGAAGCCCCCUGGCUAAGGAUGAGACCCCUGGCCACCGGGGACAGGCUGGGGCUCCCUCCCGGAUUGCCGCCAGCCCAUGCCUGUUUUUUUUUUUUUCUAAUAUGUGUGUGAGUUUGUAUGUGCAUGACAAAUGAAAUGAACAUAAAAUUCCUAGGGAAAGGAUAAAGAAAAAUAUGUAUUUAUCUAUUAUUUUUACUAUUAUAUUUCAUAUGGAAAUAUUGAAAAUGUGUUUGCCUAAAAUCUUCCACAUAGGUACUUUCUUUUUAUAAGGUCC
ensembl:lincRNA